rnacentral:lncRNA from 1 species
UCCUAUUGAGCUCGAAUGUCCCUAGGGGCCAACGUCUAAUUAAUUUUAAUUAGGGUGAUAGCUAUGUGAGAAUUGAUUCACCUACUCUGGGCAAGAAUCUGGUGAUGAAAUCCAGUUCUUAUCUUGUUGGGGUGAUUGCCCUUACUAUGUGCGGAUUAAUUGGUGUAUGUGUAUCAAGCAUGCAUUCACACUUUUGCUAAAAUUAAAAUCAAACAAUCACCACAAAAGGGAAUUUAAAUAAGAAAGGUUUAGAGGUUACCAAAGGGAAUUUCUCCAAUAAUUUUUAAAGCAAACCUUUACAGCAUUCCUUUGCCAAUAGUUCCCUUUCUGAAUGUCCCAAACUUCCUCUUUGGUUCCUGAUCAAAUGAUACCAAGAAAAAUCAAAAAUUAGUGAGAGAGGAGAAGAAGAUAAGGAAAGUAAAAAUAGAAACUAUUUUUAUUUUAUUUUUUUUAUUUUUCGAAUUUUUUUUUUGAAAUUUUUUUUAAUAAAAAGAAAAACAACUAUGCUACCAAUCCCCGGCAACGGCGCCAAAAAUUGAUAGUCAACUUUAAAGACCACGCAAUAGCACGUAUCUAGUAGGAUAGUGAUUACGGGUAUCGAUCCACAGGGAUUGGGGUAUAGUUAUUUUUCUUAAAAAUAAAAAUAUUUAAAAUGAUGAAUUUGUGAAGACUAU